GAUGAACGCUGGCGGCGUGCUUAACACAUGCAAGUCGAGCGAGUGAGUUCUUCGGAACAAUCUAGCGGCGGACGGGUGAGUAACACGUGAGCAACCUGCCUCAUAGAGGGGAAUAGCCUCCCGAAAGGGAGAUUAAUACCGCAUAAAAUUAUCGAGUGGCAUCACAUGAUAAUCAAAGGAGCAAUCCGUUAUGAGAUGGGCCCGCGGCGCAUUAGCUAGUUGGUGAGGUAACGGCUCACCAAGGCGACGAUGCGUAGCCGACCUGAGAGGGUGAUCGGCCACAUUGGGACUGAGACACGGCCCAGACUCCUACGGGAGGCAGCAGUGGGGAAUAUUGCACAAUGGGGGAAACCCUGAUGCAGCAACGCCGCGUGAGUGAUGAAGGUCUUCGGAUUGUAAAGCUCUGUCUUUGGGGACGAUAAUGACGGUACCCAAGGAGGAAGCCACGGCUAACUACGUGCCAGCAGCCGCGGUAA
rnacentral:rRNA from 1 species